rnacentral:rRNA from 1 species
CCAUGGCAGACGGGGUAGUAACACGUGGGAACGCACCCGAAAGUCGUGAAUAACCUGGAGAAAUCCAGGAUAAUGCACGAUAUCUCGCAAGAGGAAAGAUUUAUCGCUUUCGGAGCGGCCUGCGCAGUAUCAGCUAGUUGGUAGGGUAAUGGCCUACCAAGGCGACGACGCUUAGGGGGGGUGAGAGCCUGUUCCCCACCAUCGGGACUGAGAAACGGCCCGGACUCCUACGGGAGGCUGCAGUCGAGAAUCUUCGGCAAUGGGCGAAAGCCUGACCGAGCGAUGCCGCGUGGUUGAUGAAGCACUUCGGUGCGUAAAGACCUUUUAUGAGGGAAGAAAUAAUUGACGGUACCUCAUGAAUAAGGGGCUCCUAACUCUGUGCCAGCAGGAGCGGUAAUACAGAGGCCCCGAGCGUUACCCGGAAUCACUGGGCGUAAAGUGUGUGCAGGCGGUUGUAUUAGUCAGGAGUAAAAUCCCGGAGCCUAACUUCGGACUCGCUUCUGAAACGGUACAACUUGAGGAUGCGAGAGGUCUACGGAACUCACAGUGUAGGGAUAAAAUCCGUUGAUAUUGUGGGGAACACCAAAAGCGAAGGCAGUAGACUGGCGCAUUCCUGACGCUCAAACACGAAAGCCAGGGUAGCGAAUGGGAUUAGAUACCCCAGUAGUCCUGGCCCUAAACGAUGAUCGCUAGCUUUGGGGAGUAUCGACCCUUUCCGAGGCGAAGCUAACGCGUUAAGCGAUCCGCCUGGGUAGUACGAACGCAAGUUUAAAACUCAAAGGAAUAGACGGGGGCUCGCACAAGCGGUGGAGCGUGUGGCUUAAUUCGUCGAUAAACGAAGAACCUUACCGGGGUUUGAA